rnacentral:rRNA from 1 species
AUGGACGAAAGUCUGACGGAGCAACGCCGCGUGAGUGAUGAAGGUUUUCKGAUCGGAAAGCUCUGWUGUUAGGGAAGAACAAGUACCGUUCGAAUAGGGGGGUACCUUGACGGUACCUAACCAGAAAGCCACGGCUAACUACGUGCCAUCAGCCGCGGNAAUACGUAGGUGGCAAGYGUUGUCCGGAAUUAUUGNGCGUAAAGGGCUCNCAGGCGGNUUCUUAAGUCUGAUGUGAAANCCCCCGGCUCAACCGGGGAGGGUCAUUGUNAACUGGGGAACUUGAGUGCAGAA